ensembl:lncRNA
AUUUUCUUGAUAAAUGUUGAAUUUUCAAAAAGAAAAUGUGUGAUUUUCUUGUUAAAUUUGGAUUUUUGUACUGAAAAUACGUGAUCUUCUUGUUAAAUGGGGAUUUUUCAAAGAGAAAAUGUGUGAUUUUCUUGUUAAAUUUGGAUUUUUGUACUGAAAAUGUGUGAUUCUGUGGUUAAAUGGGGGGUUUUUGAAGGGAAAAUGUGUGAUUUUCUUGUUAAAUGGGGGGUUUUCAAAGAGAAAAUGCGUGAUUUUCGGGUUAUAUGGAGGAUUUUUGAACAGAAGAUGCGUGAUUUUGGGGUUAAAUGGGGCAUUUUCAAAGGGAAAGAGAGUGACUUCCUUGUUAAAUGGGUGAUCUUCAAAGAGAAAAUGAGAGAUUUUCGGGUUAAAUAGGGGACUUCCGAAGAGAAGAUGUGUGAUUUCUGGGAUAAAUGGGGGAUUUUCUAAGGGAAAAUGUGUGAUUUUCGGGUUGAAUGUGUUGAUUUUCAAAGAGAAAAUGCGUGAUUUGGGGGUUCAGUGAGGGAUUUUCAAAGAGAAAAGGCAUGAUUUUCUUGGUAAAUGGGGAGAUUUUCGUUGAGUAAAUGCGUGAUUUUCAGGUUCAGUGGCGGAUUUUUUAAGAGAGAAUGUGUGCUUUUCUUGAUAAAUGUGUGAUUUCUGAAGAGAAAAUUCAUGAUUUUUGGUUAAAUGAGGGGUUUUUGAAGAGAAAAUGCAUGAUUUUCUUCUUGAAAGGCGGAUUUUUUUAGUGAAACUGCCUGAUAUUCGGGCUAAAUGGGGGUUUUCAAAGAGAAAAUGCAUGAUUUUUGGGUUUAAUUGGGGAUUUUUGAAGAGAAAAUGCCUGAUGUUCAGGUUUAAUUGGGGAUUUUUGAAGAGAGAACGUGUGAUUUUGGGGUUAAAUGGGGGAUUUUCUGUCAUGGUUUUAUGGUUUUUGGUUAUCAGUAUUCCAUAUCACAACAUCAUGCAGUGUACUGGGAGUUAAAGAGCAAAUGCUUUUGUUCCAGGUACCUGUCUGGAAGAGAAGAACUACGGUCCCCAAGAGCCUUUUCGAGUACUGUUAUCAUUCCUGCUCAAGGGAACAGAUAUAAGGGCGCAGGUGAUCUGACUCGUCCCUCUUCUCGUCUCGCCAUGUUCCCUGCUGGAUUGGGUCGCUACUGCUGCACCCAACUGCACGCAAGGCUUCAGUAUUAGCGUAAGGCCUUUGGCUCUCAGACAAUCUUU